ACGGGAGGCAGCAGUGGGGAAUAUUGCACAAUGGGGGGAACCCUGAUGCAGCAACGCCGCGUGAGUGAUGAAGUAUUUCGGUAUGUAAAGCUCUAUCAGCAGGGAAGAAAAUGACGGUACCUGACUAAGAAGCCCCGGCUAACUACGUGCCAGCAGCCGCGGUAAUACGUAGGGGGCAAGCGUUAUCCGGAUUUACUGGGUGUAAAGGGAGCGUAGGUUGUAUGGUAAGUCAGAAGUGAAAACCCAGGGCUUAACUUUGGGACUGCUUUUGAAACUAUCAAACUAGAGUGCUGGAGGGGUAAGCGGAAUUCCUAGUGUAGCGGUGAAAUGCUUAGAUAUUAGGAAGAACACCGGUGGCGAAGGCGGCUUACUGGACAGUAACUGACACUGAGGCUCGAAAGCGUGGGGAGCAAACAGGAUUAGAUACCCUGGUA
rnacentral:rRNA from 1 species